ensembl:lncRNA
GGUAUCAAAGUCACAUUGUAAACACAGUUUGCUGAACCCUACAGUAAUUUGUAAAGUUUGUUUGUGUAUACCAAUCUUAGAUUUUCUAAAACAUAAUAAAGUUUUUUUUUAUGUUGUAUUUAACAUACAAAAGUCCAAAAUAUAUCCAGACAGGCAGGAACUAUGGUUGCCACUUUAAAAAACAAAUGUUUUAGCAUGAUACACUAUUCUGUGUAUGUACGGAUAAAUAAUCAAACUUUGAACUUUUCAAAUCAUAAACAACUACAUUAUUUGUUACUUUGAGCCUUUAAUAUGUAAAACAAAUACAUACAGUUUACUCUUCUUAGUUUAAAAUAUACUUACUUUGAACAAUUCAACUAAUGCAAGACUAUCAAAAACUUCAUAAGCCAUACAAAUGUCAACUUCAUUUUCAAAAUUAUGAGAACUCAAAAAAAAAAAAAAAAAGCUAAAGCAUGGCAGUUUAGUUUUAAACAAAGAUAAAUACCUUUUUAUUUGCACUUGUGAUAAGAAUCAACUGUAUUCAUUUAGGAGUAAGUAGGAAAUGAUGCAGUUAUAACUCGUUGUGUGGUGACUGUGAUGGUAUUUACUGUCCUGGGGAUGGUGGGAUCCGGUGGCCCAGAAUCAUCAGCACCUUACCAUGUUCACUGCUGUCCUUUCGCUCUGUCACUAAGAUUAGUUUCCGAGACUCAUCAACUCUUUCUAUCACUGUGUGAACAACUGUUUUGCACUGCGUUAGCGUCUGCCUUCGGUUUCUGCUAAUUUUCUUUGACUUUCAUUUUUCUUGUCCUUCUCUGGUGUUUGCUUUGCUGCUCCACUUUGAGGAGUCUGGGCAGCUUCACCCUCAGGCGCUCCAACAGUUCGUCCAUUUGGCUGAAGCUCUCCGUUCUUCUGUUCUUGGCGUCUGAGAUUUGUCAGCAAGGCCUGGUUUACAGGGACCAGGGCUACCGCCUCCUCCCGCCUGCGGGGCUCCUCCUUCACUUCUGGCGGGCACCAGUUCCAGUCUUGACUCAGCUGAGCACAGCAGGAACAGCGACAGCAGCCGGAGCACCCACGUCCAAGGUCGCCCAGCCCGGGGACCCCUUGGCUCAAAGCCAGGGUCGGGGCUCAGGGUGGUGCGCAGAAAUCCGCGGUCAACCAGAGCAUUUCCCACAGCUGGGCGAGCCCUCCUCGACCUGCGGGGCCAGUUCCUCCCACUGGCUUUCUGCUGCCACCUCCCCUUCCAUCAGAGGGAACCUCAGGAUUGUGCGGGGGCGGGUAGACAUCGUGAAGAGUCCAGGGAAGUGAGGAGGGGCUGGGCUGGGCAGGCUUAAGCCCAGCGCAGGGCCGCAGCCCUCACGCCUGAGCAGAGAUCAGCCACUGCCACCGCGACAGGGACAGAGGGGCCCAGGGUCCCCCAGCCAGCCUCCCUCUGCGUCAGGAGAGGAGGGAACUAUUUCCAAAAAAGAAAGUAUAGACCAGGCGCGGUGGCUCACGCCUGUAAUCCCAGCACUUUGGAAGGCCGAGGCGGGCGGAUCACAAGGUCAGGAGAUCAAGACCAUUGUGAAACCUCGUCUCUACUAAAAAUACAAAAAAAUUUGGCCGGGCGCGGUGGCGGCCGCCUGUCGUCCCAGCUACUCAGGAGGCUGAGGCAGGAGAAUGGCGUGAUCCCGGGAGGCGGAGCUUGCAGUGAGCCGAGAUCGCGCCACUGCACUCCAGCCUGGG